ACCAGGCCUUGACAUGCAGAGAACUUUCCAGAGAUGGAUUGGUGCCUUCGGGAACUCUGACACAGGUGCUGCAUGGCUGUCGUCAGCUCGUGCGUGAGAUGUUGGGUUAAGUCCCGUAACGAGCGCAACCCUUGUCCUUAGUUACCAGCACGUUAUGGUGGGCACUCUAAGGAGACUGCCGGUGACAAACCGGAGGAAGGUGGGGAUGACGUCAAGUCAUCAUGGCCCUUACGGCCUGGGCUACACACGUGCUACAAUGGCCGGUACAAAGGGUUGCCAAGCCGCGAGGUGGAGCUAAUCCCAUAAAACCGAUCGUAGUCCGGAUCGCAGUCUGCAACUCGACUGCGUGAAGUCGGAAUCGCUAGUAAUCGUGAAUCAGAAUGUCACGGUGAAUACGUUCCCGGGCCUU
rnacentral:rRNA from 1 species